GAUGAACGCUGGCGGCGUGCCUAAUACAUGCAAGUCGAGCGAACGGACGAGAAGCUUGCUUCUCUGAUGUUAGCGGCGGACGGGUGAGUAACACGUGGAUAACCUACCUAUAAGACUGGGAUAACUUCGGGAAACCGGAGCUAAUACCGGAUAAUAUUUUGAACCGCAUGGUUCAAAAGUGAAAGACGGUCUUGCUGUCACUUAUAGAUGGAUCCGCGCUGCAUUAGCUAGUUGGUAAGGUAACGGCUUACCAAGGCAACGAUGCAUAGCCGACCUGAGAGGGUGAUCGGCCACACUGGAACUGAGACACGGUCCAGACUCCUACGGGAGGCAGCAGUAGGGAAUCUUCCGCAAUGGGCGAAAGCCUGACGGAGCAACGCCGCGUGAGUGAUGAAGGUCUUCGGAUCGUAAAACUCUGUUAUUAGGGAAGAACAUAUGUGUAAGUAACUGUGCACAUCUUGACGGUACCUAAUCAGAAAGCCACGGCUAACUACGUGCCAGCAGCCGCGGUAAUACGUAGGUGGCAAGCGUUAUCCGGAAUUAUUGGGCGGUAAGGCGCGCGUAGGCGGUUUUUUAGUCUGAUGUGAAAGCCCACGGCUCAACCGUGGAGGGUCAUUGGAAACUGGAAAACUUGAGUGCAGAAGAGGAAAGUGGAAUUCCAUGUGUAGCGGUGAAAUGCUCAGAGAUAUGGAGGAACACCAGUGGCGAAGGCGACUUUCUGGUCUGUAACUGAUGCUGAUGUGCGAAAGCGUGGGGAUCAAACAGGAUUAGAUACCCUGGUAGUCCACGCCGUAAACGAUGAGUGCUAAGUGUUAGGGGGUUUCCGCCCCUUAGUGCUGCAGCUAACGCAUUAAGCACUCCGCCUGGGGAGUACGACCGCAAGGUUGAAACUCAAAGGAAUUGACGGGGACCCGCACAAGCGGUGGAGCAUGUGGUUUAAUUCGAAGCAACGCGAAGAACCUUACCAAAUCUUGACAUCCUUUGACAACUCUAGAGAUAGAGCCUUCCCCUUCGGGGGACAAAGUGACAGGUGGUGCAUGGUUGUCGUCAGCUCGUGUCGUGAGAUGUUGGGUUAAGUCCCGCAACGAGCGCAACCCUUAAGCUUAGUUGCCAUCAUUAAGUUGGGCACUCUAAGUUGACUGCCGGUGACAAACCGGAGGAAGGUGGGGAUGACGUCAAAUCAUCAUGCCCCUUAUGAUUUGGGCUACACACGUGCUACAAUGGACAAUACAAAGGGCAGCGAAACCGCGAGGUCAAGCAAAUCCCAUAAAGUUGUUCUCAGUUCGGAUUGUAGUCUGCAACUCGACUACAUGAAGCUGGAAUCGCUAGUAAUCGUAGAUCAGCAUGCUACGGUGAAUACGUUCCCGGGUCU
rnacentral:rRNA from 1 species